GAUGAACGCUGGCGGCGUGCCUAAUACAUGCAAGUCGAGCGAACAGACGAGGAGCUUGCUCCUCUGACGUUAGCGGCGGACGGGUGAGUAACACGUGGAUAACCUACCUAUAAGACUGGGAUAACUUCGGGAAACCGGAGCUAAUACCGGAUAAUAUAUUGAACCGCAUGGUUCAAUAGUGAAAGACGGUUUUGCUGUCACUUAUAGAUGGAUCCGCGCCGCAUUAGCUAGUUGGUAAGGUAACGGCUUACCAAGGCAACGAUGCGUAGCCGACCUGAGAGGGUGAUCGGCCACACUGGAACGGAGACGCGGUCCAGGCUCCUACGGGAGGCAGCAGUAGGGAAUCGUCCGCAAUGGGCGAAAGCCUGGCGGAGCAACGCCGCGUGAGUGAUGAAGGUCUUCGGAUCGUAAAACUCUGUUAUUAGGGAAGAACAAAUGUGUAAGUAACUAUGCACGUCUUGACGGUACCUAAUCAGAAAGCCACGGCUAACUACGUG
rnacentral:rRNA from 1 species